rnacentral:rRNA from 1 species
UUGUUCUUUAAAUGGGGACUUGUAUCAACGGCACCACGAGGGUUAGACUGUCUCCUUUUUCAAAUCAGUGAAAUUAAUCUCCCCGUGAAGAAGCGGGGAUACUCAUAUAAGACGAGAAGACCCCAUGGAGCUUCAAACCCAACUACACCCCUAGCUCUUAUAGCCCCACAACCCCCCCCCCCC